rnacentral:rRNA from 1 species
AUUGCACAAUGGGCGGAAGCCUGAUACAGCGACGCCCCGUGAGUGAAGAAGUAUCUCGGUAUNUAAAGCUCUAUCAGCAGGGAAGNNCANNNANGUACCUGACUAAGAAGCCACGGCUAACUACGUGCCANNNGACGCGGUAAUACGUAGGGGGCAAGCGUUAUCCGGAUUUACUGGGUGUAAAGGGAGCGUAGACGGGGACGCAAGUCUGGAGUGAAAGCCCGGGGCCCAAACCCGGGACUGCGUUGGAAACUGUGCUGCUGGAGUGCAGGAGAGGUAAGUGGAAUUCCUAGUGUAGCGGUGAAAUGCGUAGAUAUUAGGAGGAACACCAGUGGCGAAGGCGGCUUACUGGACUGUAACUGACGUUGAGGCUCGAAAGCGUGGGGAGCAAACAG